UACGUAGGGCGCAAGCGUUGUCCGGAAUUAUUGGGCGUAAAGAGCUCGUAGGUGGUUUGUCGCGUUGUUCGUGAAAACUCACAGCUUAACUGUGGGCGUGCGGGCGAUACGGGCAGACUGGAGUACUGCAGGGGAGACUGGAAUUCCUGGUGUAGCGGUGGAAUGCGCAGAUAUCAGGAGGAACACCGGUGGCGAAGGCGGGUCUCUGGGCCGAUACUGACGCUGAGGAGCGAAAGCGUGGGGAGCAAACAGG
rnacentral:rRNA from 1 species